rnacentral:rRNA from 1 species
UGGGGAAUUUUGGACAAUGGGGGAAACCCUGAUCCAGCCAUCCCGCGUGUGCGAUGAAGGCCUUCGGGUUGUAAAGCACUUUUGGCAGGAAAGAAACGUCGCGGGUUAAUACCCCGCGAAACUGACGGUACCUGCAGAAUAAGCACCGGCUAGCUACGUGCCAGCAGCCGCGGUAAUACGUAGGGUGCAAGCGUUAAUCGGAAUUACUGGGCGUAAAGCGUGCGCAGGCGGUUCGGAAAGAAAGAUGUGAAAUCCCAGAGCUUAACUUUGGAACUGCAUUUUUAACUACCGGGCUAGAGUGUGUCAGAGGGAGGUGGAAUUCCGCGUGUAGCAGUGAAAUGCGUAGAUAUGCGGAGGAACACCGAUGGCGAAGGCAGCCUCCUGGGAUAACACUGACGCUCAUGCACGAAAGCGUGGGGAGCAAACAGGAUUAGAUACCCUGGUAGUCCACGCCCUAAACGAUGUCAACUAGCUGUUGGGGCCUUCGGGCCUUGGUAGCGCAGCUAACGCGUGAAGUUGACCGCCUGGGGAGUACGGUCGCAAGAUUAAAACUCAAAGGAAUUGGACUGGGGUC